UGGGGAGUAUUGCACAAUGGAGGAAACUCUGAUGCAGCAACGUCGCGUGGGUGAAGAAGGCUCUUGGGUCGUAAAGCCCUUUCGGCCGGGAAGAAGGGACAGUUGGCUAACAUCCACCUGUUUUGACGGUACCGGAAGAAGAAGCACCGGCUAAUUUCGUGCCAGCAGCCGCGGUAAUACGAAAGGUGCAAGCGUUGUUCGGAAUUAUUGGGCGUAAAGCGCACGCAGGCGGAAUCGUAAGUCGAUUGUGAAAUCCCUGGGCUCAACCUAGGAAUUGCAGUCGAAACUGCGAAUCUUGAAUAUCUGAGAGGGUGGGAGAAUUCCUGGUGGAGAAGUGAAAUUCGUAGAGAUCAGGAGGAAUACCGGAGGCGAAGGCGCCUACCUGGCAGAAUAUUGACGC
rnacentral:rRNA from 1 species